rnacentral:rRNA from 1 species
CCGGAUUAGCUGAGAGGUGGUGCAUGGCCGUCGUCAGUUCGUACUGUGAAGCAUCCUGUUAAGUCAGGCAACGAGCGAGACCCACGCCCACAGUUGCCAGCGUACUCUCCGGAGUGACGGGUACACUGUGGGGACCGCCGCUGCUAAAGCGGAGGAAGGAAUGGGCAACGGUAGGUCAGUAUGCCCCCGAAUAUCCCGGGCUACACGCGAGCUACAAUGGUUGGUACAAUGGGUAUCUACCCCGAAAGGGGACGGGAAUCUCCUAAAACCAAUCUUAGUUCGGAUUGAGGGCUGCAACUCGCCCUCAUGAAGCUGGAAUCCGUAGUAAUCGCGUUUCAACAGAACGCGGUGAAUACCGUCCCUGCUCCUU